AUCAUCUCACUGUGAAAAGAGUCAAGUCCAUCAGAAUUGUUGUAUCAAAUAACUUAAGAAAUCUGUGAGUAGUUGUAGAACUAUUCCUAUAGUCCUAUACAAACUGAUAGGGUAACUUCUCUUCUGUGACCUAGCCUAUUUACUUGGCACUAUUUCAGUUUUUAGUCAGCUAAAUGGAACUAAUCCCUGUCCAAAGGAUGUGGGGGAAUAAGAGAGACAUUAACCAUAACAGCACUUCCUCUUGGAGUAUCAGGCUGACCAUGAACCUUGUCAUCUUGGUCCUCUUGAGGCAGUGGGAAAAGAGUCAUAUAUAUAGUAAGGCUAAUUUAUCCCCCUUCUGCUCUGUUGGGAAGACCAAAGAAUUAAUUAAGAAUGAUCCUAUUGUUCCCCUAGGAGAAAUAUGUAGAAGGGAUGGCCAGCAGCCAUUUGGGAAUGAGUGCCAGGAGAAUUUAAUACCAAGUUAAUUCUACCCCACAUUAUUGUCUAUUAUUAUGUUUUUGUUUUUGAAAAAAAAAACAAUGAAACAAAUGAUCUAUAGUAAAGGAUCUGUGUUCUAAUUUGACUCUCCCCACUUAAUACUUGUGAGACCCUGGACAAAUCCUUUAUCAUUUUGCCUGUUCUCAGUUUCUCUUCUGUCAAAUGGGCUUCUCUCUAUUUCUCAGUCUUAUAGAGAGCCUGGAGACUUCAAUUAUGUGAGAAAUGGGAGUACGAUGGAUUUAAACAUUUAAUUGCACAAGUCACUCUGUUAGAAAUGUAGAUACUAUCCAAAAGAGAUACUUUCAAAUCAUCUAUGAGCUUCAAAAUAGAUCUAAGGAUAUGUAGCUAUCAUUUCUCUUGCCUUUGUUUUGUAGAUUGGACACAGAACAGAAGCAUGGUCAGUAGCAAGAGAGUGGAAGGGUAUGAGGAAGGCCUUAUCUGUUGCUAGCUAUAUUUACAGCAGGCCUUCCAUGGCACCCUCACAGCCUGUGGACCAGCUUGUCAAAGGCCUCUUGUCAGUUGGUGCUAGCCAAGGUGCCUUGGCAUUUGAUCCAGUAGAAGCAAUAUACACUACCCUGGGUCCUUCCAAUUAGAGAGGGGCUGUUGAAACAUGAUUUGGACUAAGAGAAAUGCUCAGCUAAUGAUCUUAGAAGAGAUGAUUCUUUGUUUUCCAAUAACAGAAGGAAGAGAAGAGAAAGAUGUUUCCAAUUGCUUACUUCUUCAGUUUUAUGGGGGCUCCUCCAAGUAUCCAUGCAUGGGCAAAGGCAGGAAAAUAGGGAACCCAUUUUUGUCCUUUUUUGCAUGCUCAGCCCUUAGUACAUCUAGCACAUUAUGACCACUUAAUCAAUAUUAUUUUUCUCUUUGAAUAAUUGCUUCUUGUCAGAAUUUUAGGAGGACCUUACCAAUGCUCUUAUUUGACCAUAUAAAAUCUAACUCUAACCUCCCUUUUCUAGAUUCACAUUCCACCAUAUCUCAAAAUGGGAAUCAUCUUUAUUUGCAGAAAAUAAAUGAAAAGCCUUAGAGAAAAGGGCUGCCACCUUGAUAGGUUUGGGGAAUGGCUCCAUUGAUGGAAUCCCAUGGAAUCCCAUAGCCCUGAUCACCGUUUCUCCUUUUCCACUGUGGCACAUUUUCAGCUCUACAAAAUAAUGGUACCUAAACUGGGCAAAACUAAGAGAAAUAGUUAACAAGAGGCAGAUUGAAGCCUGUGGGAACAGCUUAUGAAUGCUAAAAGGUUCUUCAAAGCAUGUGUUGACUCGGUAUUUGGUAGGUUUCACAUCAAGGUGACCUUUAAGAGGAGGGUUGGAUGACCAUUUGUAAAGGAACUUUCAUUUCCUGCACUAAAACAAUGUGACCCUCUACCAAACUUCAUUUUCUGGAAAGCUCUACUCAACUUCCAGUUCUUCAUAGUCAAAACCUAUGAAUUAUCCCUGACUUUUCUCUCUCCUUCAUCUUCCAUAGCCAUUAAGAUUCUAACUUUCACCAAAUCUAUUUUUUUUUUUUUUUACAAAUCUCUUCUCUUCUCUGAACACAUAUAGCUGUUACCUUAGUACACAUCUUCAUCAUUUCCUGCCAGCCAUAUUGCAAUAGCUUUCUAAUAAUUGGUUUCCCUGCUCUAGUGUUUUCCUUCUCCAAUUCAUCCUAAGGGAUGUCUGAUCAUGUUGCACUGUUUCUUCAAAAUCUUCAGUGCCUCACAAUUGUUUCUAGGAUAAAAUAGAAAAUUAAAAUCCUUGACGGAGUGUUUAAGGCUCUUUAUCUUGAACUAUUUUUACAAGCUUUCUUUCUUUUUUUAUUUUUUAUUUUUAUUUU